rnacentral:tRNA from 1 species
GCCGAAGUGGCGGAAUAGGCAGACGCCCACGACUCAAAAUCGUGUGGGGUAACCCCCCGUGUGGGUUCGACUCCCACCUUCGGCACCA